rnacentral:rRNA from 1 species
UACGUAGGGCGCAAGCGUUAUCCGGAAUUAUUGGGCGUAAAGAGCUCGUAGGCGGUUUGUCGCGUCUGCCGUGAAAGUCCGGGGCUCAACUCCGGAUCUGCGGUGGGUACGGGCAGACUAGAGUGAUGUAGGGGAGACUGGAAUUCCUGGUGUAGCGGUGAAAUGCGCAGAGAUCGGGAGGAACACCCGUAGCGAAGGCGGCACUCUGGGCCGAUACUGACGCUGAGGAGCGAAAGCGUGGGGAGCGAACAGG